AAUUCAGAUUUGGAGAAGACAGGAAGGAGAACGCUUCCUGGAGGCCCAGGGCCAUUCUGGGGUCAGUUUCUAGAAGUUUUAGCCUUGGAUACAAUUGGCUUUUUUUUAUUCCUUGGGGACUCUAGACUUGCCCUCAGUCCACAGCUCUUAUAGCCCAACUCAUUGGCUCUAAGUGUAAGUGGCCAGCAUGGUCUUUGCUUGAUGGACUGAAGCAUUUGGAUAGCAGUUCUGAGAAGCUGGUGACACUGGGCUUGGGGUAGACCCCAGCAAGAUGCUCCUCUGCUUAUCUUCUCUGAACUGUACCUAAGAAAUGAAGCUUAGCAGGUACCAUGACAACCUGACACACUGGGAGGCUUAAGCAGCCACAUCCACCUUCGGUGUCUCCAGGCUAGCCAGGAAGCCAAAACUAAACACAGAAGAGGAAGCAGGCCCCUUUCUGUCGGUGCUCCCCUCCUGCACUAUUUCUAAAGCUGGCAGACACAGAAACAGUGUGAAGCUCCGAUCCAUGCCUGCGUUGUUGAAUCAAGUCUGGAAACUGACAGAUGAAAGUGCUGCUUGGAGAUGCAAAAUCAGGUUGAAAAGAAGAGUCUGGGUUAGAGCAGCCCCAGGUUUGGGUCCCAGAAUCUUUUUCUUCUUGUACAGAGCCCCUUCCUCUCCAGGCAGGAGAACAGCUGGAAAGACCAUUCCCUGCUGUGCCCCCUAUGCCUAUGAUGACACUUGGAGGUAUAAGAUGCUCUAUGAAGUACCACACACUGCCCCUGGGCUCUGGAUGAAUGAAAGCUGGUGUCAGCCUUAUUAGUAGGGUCUCUCUACCUUGGAUAGACAUCAGUUCAGAAGGGCAGUAGCUGCUCCUCUAGUUUCCUGUUAUGACCAAUUGACUGGCAAGAUACCGAGUGCCAAGUAAUUGCAAAUUACAAAUACCAAGAGAAGUCAACUCCUGUGUCUAUCAAGCUCGAUUUCAUUGACACUUUCUGGUGGAAAAGCUUUUGUUUUUGCCUGCUGGCCGUUGUGAAUUCAUCUGUCCUGUUCCAUGUAAGCUCAUCUACCCUAUUGUUGCCACUGCUGCUGCUGCUUCUCUUUGAUGACAUCAGAACCCAACUUCUUCAGCCUUCCAAUGUGGAAUGAAGACCAGUGUUUCUCUAGGAACCCUCCAGGCCUUCAGCAACAGACUGGGACUGCUGAGGCAUCCAGCCUUGUGGACGAAGCAGUUACCAGUUCUCAGCCUCUCCAGUGUGAAGACAGCCAUUGUUGGACUGCCCAGACCACAUCAUGUAAACCAAUCUAAUGAAUUCCUUUUAAAUGUGUGUUCACUGUAUUGCUCCUGCUCUAGAGAGCCCUGACUAAUAGAGGGGAUCCCAUAGGUUCUACACAAAUACUAUGAUAUUCUAUAUAAUGGAUUUAAACACCUGAAACAAUUUCCUGUGGUACAAAAGGAUGAUCAUAUUUUCAAAGCUCCACAGGUGAUUUAACUGUGCAACCAAAGGCUAUUUCCUCCAUUUCUAAUGGAAUUUCAGACUUCCCACACUGGGGGUGAUAUUCUGUCUCCAUAUUCUUCCCCAUCACUGGACUGUACCAUCCCACAGUCCCAUUCAUCCCUAAGCCCUGGAGGGAACACUAACAUUGUACUGUGCAGAUCCUCCACCUCCAGUCACAUACUGUACUUGGCUCUUGCUAGGCCCAGAGUGUUCUGAUCCCCUCUGCAACUGAGUUGCCAGUUUGCUGCCUGUGGAUUCUUUUCUCUCCCAGCCUUGCCUUAUGUCCUGAUACUACCAAACCACAUAAUUCCUGUCACUAGAUUAAAACUUUGAAGCUUACCUCACCAAGAAUAUGUUCAUCUCCAUGAACUAUUUGGGGCAGUUCACCUUACUGGCCAAUGCACGAAGUAGCAUAAGGAAAGAAUUAGAUGAAUUAGUGACUAAACUGACAUUCUGUGUUGAAAAUAAGCCUGGGUGCUUUUCCCCUGGAUCCUUUGAUUCUCAGGAGCUCAGAGAAGUAAAGGACAGAAGAAAGUUUUGACAAAAAUUUGGCUAGGUUUCAGCCAAGUUAGUUUAAUGGUGAAUCUGGCAGAGAAGCAGCAUGGA